rnacentral:rRNA from 1 species
GAUGAACGCUGGCGGCGUGCCUCAAACAUGCAAGUCGAGCGAGGCUAUGAGUUACCGCAAGGUAAGGCAUAGCCUAGCGGCGAACGGGUGAGUAACACGUGGGUAACCUACCUGGAAGACAGGGAUAACGAUUCGAAAGGGUCGCUAAUACCUGAUAAUAUCCAUCUGCCGGAUGGCGGAGGGAAGAAAGGGGAAACCCGCUUUCAGAUGGGCCCGCGUCCCAUCAGCUAGUUGGUGAGGUAACAGCUCACCAAGGCGACGACGGGUAGCCGGCCUGAGAGGGUGACCGGCCACACUGGGACUGAGACACGGCCCAGACUCCUACGGGAGGCAGCAGUUGGGAAUCUUAGGCAAUGGACGAAAGUCUGACCUAGCGACGCCGCGUGAGGGAAGAAGGCCUUGGGUUGUAAACCUCUGUCAUGGGGAAGAAGGAAGUGACGGUACCCCAAGAGGAAGCCCCUGCUAACUACGUG